UAAUUUUGCUUCUCUGAGUCUCUCUAUCUUUCAAAAAUGAAAUCAAUUCUUCCUUUUAAGGGGUGUUGUUAUUUAUGCAUGUAUAUGCCUUUUUUACUCUAUUAGCUUUUUCAUAUACUCUAUGAGCUGAGCUCCUUGCAUAAAAAUGGUAACUUUAUCCUCCCACAUAGUUGACUGGAUUUUGUUGUGGCAGUAAAAAAUGUUGUCAGCAAUUUAGCAUCUCACUUUAAGGAAAAGUUAAGAUUCUUCCUAACUCCUAUCGUUCCAAUUGGUCAUUUGUCAUGCUGAUGUUAGCUAGUGGAAUUCUGUGUCUCCAAUGGAUUCGUCCAACAUCUAUUUGAUUUUGAUGGACUAUGGCAUCUCUGAAGCCAAUCAUUUUGUCAUUUAAUAGUAUCUUUGUGGAUUUCUGCACUGAUGCUGUGCCCAUUUCAACUGGACCACAUCUGUUUCUCAGUUUCCUGCAUCUUUAAUGGAUUCUCCAGGCGCUUUAUCAUCAGCUGGAUGAUGUGCAUCCAAUGAGGAAGAUGAUGCUUCACAGGAAACGGUGAAGCACAUGCCCCUGAUUUCUUCUGCAAAGCAUGGGAUCCCAGACACUGAAAAGUUGAUGAAUAAAGAUUUCUUCUCAGGAGAAGUCGUGGAUGGUGAUACGAUCCCACAUCGGUUUCACACGAAAGUGUGGAAUAGCAUAUAAUAGGGAGUCAACCCUUUACUUUUGACCAUGGUUUUGGAUUAAGUUAGGGCUUCCUAUCUUAUAUGCUUAUCAAUUUGGUGCGGUGAACGUGGAUCUGGAUGUCCUACGGAAAGGGGCUACCCGUAGGUGUGACCAAAGGGGUGCCACCGAAAAAUGUGGGCCCGUGGCUUUGGGUUUGCCACCCGGCGUGUGCCGUCCGUGGACGUCCGGUUUAAAAGAGGGAUGGAUUGAUACGAUCCCACAUCGGUUUCACACGAAAGUGUGGAAUAGCAUAUAAUAGGGAGUCAACCCUUUACCUUUGACCAUGGUUUUGGGUUAAGUUAGGGCUUCCUAUCUUAUAUGCUUAUCAGAUGGUGUUUCUUGUCAAUCAGUAAACAACUAUACAUCAUUUGGAUCUAAUGUGGAACCAUUAUUACACAAAUUGCAGCCAUCAAUCACUACUCCAAGCACAUGGCAUUUAUUGGGAUCAAAUGCAAGUAUUGAUGCUUUAGAAAUUCCUGAUGAGGUUGAUAAUUCGGAUAAAGGCGCAUUACAAUCUGGCACUAGCAUACUGAAAACUUCGACAGCCUUGAAAGAAAAAUCUUCUGUUGCAGUUACUCCACUUCCUUUGGACAGACACUACUGAGUACACAUUGGACUAGAAACCUACUACCAGCAUAUCCUAGUUCACAAGUGCCUUCAGGGUGUAUUGUUGCUUCGGGAGAUGGGUUCCAGUCCGAAUCCGAAAAGGAAACAAGCGAACUUGUCUUCAUUGUUGCUGAUGCAGAGUAGUUUUUGAUAAGGAAAAGUGGUCCAGUCUGAAUCCAGGGACCUAAUCACAUUCAUCUCCACCAUUGCUGAUGCAGUCUGAAUCAAUGAAAGGAACUGAAUGCAUCGCCGUCUCCAACCUCGCUGACGAACUUUGUGCGGCAUUCUUUAGUUUCUCAUUUCUGGCAUCAUACCUUUCUCACGAUAAACCCUUAUGCUUGUGUUUUCAUGGCUAGACAGCGAUGUCAAAUGUGUUGCCUACAUGAUAUACUUGAAAAAAAAAAUCAUUUUAUGUACCUUGCUUGUCUUCGAUUAGUAGGCUUUUAUGAUGAGCUUUUUCAGGUUACGGUAUCUUUAGGUUGAAGAAAUGGCCAAACAACUUGAUAAUCUGCUUGAAGGCAAUGAAGGAAAGGGUUGGCUUCAGGAUGCAUCCAUAAUUCUCAUACAGAAAUGAAGGGAUAUGAGCUCUUUCCGGAAAAUGUGGAAUGUGGAUGGUUUGUUCUCCUUCUCGUGACUCUUUCAGUCUUUCCUGUAAUAAAAUGUGUAGCUGAAGGGAUAGGGGUUAUUGAAUUUAGAAACUUGGGGAAACUCAAGUUUUGCUUGAUAAAACAGUAGAAGGUUUGAUCUUGCUUUUGAUAAAGUUUGCAGUGCAAAGUUAAUGUUGCAUAUGCGGCACAAAAUGGAGUAAAGGUUAAUUUUGGUCCUAAACAUACGACCAAAAUACAAAUUUGGUCCAAAACUGUAACACCCGGACUUUUUCCAUUUUUUUUUCAAGUGUUCUUGAAAGAACAUCGAAUAUUAAAGUCAAUUCUCGCCUUUGUAUUUUCGAGUCGAUAGAAGGAAAAUAUAUACAAAAUUGGGCCAAGCAAUUAUUCUUUUCCAAGCCCAAAUUAUUCA